rnacentral:rRNA from 1 species
GACGAACGCUGGCGGCGUGCUUAACACAUGCAAGUCGAACGGAAAGGCCCUGCUUGCAGGGUACUCGAGUGGCGAACGGGUGAGUAACACGUGGGUGAUCUGCCCUGCACUUCGGGAUAAGCCUGGGAAACUGGGUCUAAUACCGGAUAUGACCUUCCAUGUAGUGUGGGGGGUGGUAGGAUUUUUCGGUGUGGGAUGAGCCCGCGGCCUAUCAGCUUGUUGGUGGGGUAAUGGCCUACCAAGGCGUCGACCGGUAGCCGUCCUGACAGGAUGGACGGCCACAUUGGGACUGAGAUAGGGCCCAGACUCCUACGGGAGGCAGCAGUGAGGAAUAUUGCACAAUGGGCUGAAGCCUGAUGCAGCGACGCCGCGUGGGGGAUGACGGCCUUCGGGUUGUAAACCUCUUUCGACAGGGACGAAGCUUCGGUGACGGUACCUGUAUAAGAAGCACCGGCUAACUACGUG